AGGAAAUAGAUUGGGGUGGGAAGAUGGUCCCAGGCCUGGUGGAACUAGGAAGUAAUAGGGCCAGGAUUGCAGUCCAACACCAGAGGGGAUAGUGACCACUGCGAUGGGCUAGGAGUCCAGAGAAAGAUGGGUAUGCAUUACUUUUCUCUAUUUACUGGUGGAGGAUCUGCACAGUCAUUGUCUUCCCUGAGCCUCAGUGUCCUCAGCUGUAAAUUGGGGAUGAUAACCUCUUAUAGGCUGGGCAGAACUCGAUAAUGUAUACUAAGUGUGAAUUCAGGACUUGGUAUGUAGUAAGUGCUCAAUAAGUGACUAUUGUCAGUAAUAUUAAUAAUAUUCUUUCUCACUGCUAGUAGGUCAUCUCUUACUCUAUGUUGCCAAGUCUUCCCUCCUUCCCUUGCUGGAGGGCCUCUAUCUGUUGUAUCUUUCAACAUGUCGUCAAAGAAGUUGGUAGAGGGUACUACGAAUUCUUUAAAUAUUCAUGUCACAUGCAGCCAGAUCAAUGUUUAUAGCAGCUCAAUUCAUAAUAGGUAAGCUAUGGAACCAACCUAGAUGUCCUUCAGUGGAUGAAUGGAUAAAGAAAAUGUGAUACAUAGAUACAAUGGAAUAUAUUACUCGGCCUCAAAGAAGAAUGAAAUUAUGGCAUUUGCAGGUAAAAGAAUGGAACUAGAGAACAUCAUGCUAAGUGAAAUAAGUCAAUCCCCCAAAUCCAAAAGCAGAAUGUUCUCUCUGAUAAGUGGAUGCUGAUCCAUAGUGUGGGGGAGGUAGGGAAGAAUGAAGGAACUUUGGAUUGUGCAGAGGGGACUGGGGGCCGUAUGGAGAUGGGAAGGACGGUGGAAUGAGACGGAGAUUAUUACCCUAUAUACAUAUAUGAUUACACCACUGGUGUGACUCUGCACCAUGUUCAGCCAGAGGAAGGAGAAGUUGUGCUCCAUUUGUGUACAGUGUGUCAAAAUGCAUUCUACUGUCACGUAUAACUAAUUAGAACAAAUUAAAAAAUAAAAUAAAAUAAUAAAAAAAUAUUCAUGUCACAGGCAGGUGGCUUCCCUGUUUCGUUCUGGAGCUGCAUAGGGACAGCCUUUGUCCUUUCAGCAGUGGAAAUCAUGAGGAGAGAUGACUGCCGUGGCUGGAGUCUGGCCUGGAAUCCUCCAGAAAAUGGUCAGUAUUUGGGGGUCUGGGUUUCUAGGAAGGGAGUUAUCUCAGGGCCUCAGUAACCUGGAGUGGUGGGCAGGUGGGCAGUCAUCUAGAGCCAUCUAUAAGGGACACAAAAACAUGGAGGGGAUGUUUGUCCAAGUCGCCUUCAGGGAGGUUUCAUGAAGUUGGAGGAUCUUUCUUGGAUAAGCUGUUUGGGCUGUGGCACAAUCUCUCAGGUGGUGGGUCAGAGCCCAGGAUGGUUCCUAAAGGAGAGGAAGGCCACUAACUGGUGGGCUUUUGGAUUUCUGGGUACGUUUGGGGCCAAAGCUGCAUAGUGUGGAGCAGUGGUUGAGGAUGACUAUCCGAGGUCCUCUCUGAUCUCUGGAUUCAGGGGAGGUUAUUAUUUAAGGGGUAUCUAAUUGUUUGCCAGCUUGGGGUCACUACACCCUCUGGCCAGUUCUGCUUGGCAUCUGCUAGGGCAGCAGAGACCUUGGGGCCCUAAGAGCUGCUGGUAUGGCCACUUGGGGGGCCCUUGGUGAGGUAAUCCAGAACCUCCCCACCCUCCCUGGCAUGCAUGGUUCUGUCCACAGGGAGUCUGGCAGAAGGUCAAAGCUGACGAGAGAGGAAGGUGGAGCAGGCAUCAGGCACAUGAUGUCCUGCUUUUGUUAUUUACUGAGUGUCCUUCCUUAGCUUGGGAUUGCUGGUGUGAGUAUUUGGCAGAUUUGUAGGAACCUCCCAAGAUGAUGUGAAGUUCUGGGGCUGAGUUAGUCCCACCAAGAGGAAGAUAAACCUUGUGAAGAACUCAGGUGGCUAGGAGGUAGGUGUUGGGCAGUGGGUGUGUCCCAGGAGGGUGCUUGGCCCAGUUCCUUCCAUUCUAACACUACAAUAUCUGCUUAUCAUUUCAGGGACUACGGUUGGGUGGCCAGGUCCUUUGACCUGGUCUGUAGUUGGAGAUGGUGAGUCAGGGUUCUGAUGACAGCUAGCAGGUGCUGAGCCCCUAUUGUGUGCCAGCGACCUUGUGAGAUGGCUCCUUCUGGACACAGUCAUCAAUCUACCUAACAAGCCUGCAAAGUUGGCCUUGGAGUCCCCAUUUUACAGAGGGGGGAAACUGAGACUGGGGUUCCAGAUUCAUUCCUGAGUUGGCCGAGGACCUUACCUUCGACCCAUGGAUGUCUUACGGUUCUGAGAGCCGUAGUGGAUGAGUUUCCUAAUUCAUGGCGUGGUGGGGUCUUAGCAGGAUUUCCUCUGUGGGGUUCUGAUUGGGUUUCCUUUGUGGGUCAGGGAGUAUCAGGCCACUAGACCCUGGCUGGUGUUAGGUGUGGGAGCUGGGUUCCUGUCCGCUGCCUGAUGUUGGACUCUCAGCCUGUUGGAGAUCACUCAUAGCAUCUUGGGGCUCUGCCCACUGAGAUGAAGGGAAGUGAAUAGGUAAUAAUAUGUGGUACCCUGCCAAGGAAAGGGAAGUCAUACUUGAGGAACGAGUGGGACCCCUUUUCUAAGCACCUUGCAGGCUGUCCUAAAUCAGAGGUUUGAUCAUGGAGACCCCAGAAGUCAAUGUUUCUUUCCUUCAGCUUUCUUAGUUGGGUCUAUGAGGUGCGAGAAGGAAAUAUAGGCCUGGGAAGAGGUCAAGUACAGGGAAGGCAUAGCAAAGCCCAGUGUGGGAGGCUAAGGCCACUGGGAGAGAGCAAGAGCACAAAGCUGGGACCUUUCAGGAACUGGAGUGCUGCUGUCAUUCUGGGAUUCCUGACUGGGGAAGGGAAGGAGGGAACAAGGUCAGAUGGAGUCUCACCUCUUUCCCAGCCAGGGGCACAGCUGCCUUGUUGAGCCAGACCAGGCUGCCCUGCCCCUUUCCCAAGAAACUUGAUUUCUUGUUUUUAUCAGACUUUGCGACCUUUUUCUUUCUGCAGGUUCGAGUGGAAACUGGAAGGCAAAACCUGUGGGGCAAGGCCUCAGGAAUUGCUUAUAAUUUCCAAAUGUAUGGUGGAGAGACAGGGUUAGAAUAAUUACUCUAUGAUUCUGCUGUGUUGUGGGAAAAGUAGGCUCAAAUGCCAAUACCCCCCCCUUUAAAUUGCACUUUCUGAAGGCUAAGAACUUGAUUCUUCCCUAUCAACUUUUUGUGUUUAUUUUGAAUAUUAUUUCUCCGGAAAUUUUACAUUAAGCUUACCUAGCUAAAGUUGCUUGUUAGGCUUUAUUUCUCUGGGGUAAGAACAGAAAAUCUGUUUCAUUCAUUGUGUCAUCUCAGCUAAAUGGUGGUGGCCACCUUGAGUUCCAUGCUGGGGGAAAAAAAAAUCAGUGACCAAGACCAGACUCAGCAGGAAAAAAUGAUGUGAUUACUCAGCAAUCCCUGCUGUGGGUAUGGGAAGAGAAG
rnacentral:lncRNA from 1 species